GAUUGGGGAGGGAACUUACGGCCAAGUAUACAUGGCAAAGGAGAAAAAAACAGGAGAAAUUGUGGCCUUGAAGAAAAUUAGAAUGGACAAUGAGAGAGAGGGUUUCCCCAUCACAGCAAUUCGUGAAAUUAAAAUUCUAAAGAAGCUGCAUCAUGAGAAUGUCAUCCAACUGAAAGAGAUUGUGACAUCUCCAGGUCCAGAGAGGAAUGAACAAGGGAAACUAGAUGGGAACAAAUAUAAAGGUGGCA
rnacentral:misc_RNA from 1 species